UUCAGGCCUAACACAUGCAAGUCGAACGAGAAAAUCCUUCGGGAUGAGUACAGUGGCGCACGGGUGAGGAACGCGUAGGUAAUCUACCCUCUGGCGGGGGACAACACUCCGAAAGGAAUGCUAAUACCGCAUAAGACCACACGUACCACGGUACGAGUGGUAAAAGGCGCCUCAAAGCGUCACCAGAGGAUGAGCCUGCGUCCCAUCAGCUAGUUGGUGAGGUAACGGCUUACCAAGGCGAAGACGGGUAGCUGGUCUGAGAGGAUGAUCAGCCACACUGGCACUGGAACACGGGCCAGACUCCUACGGGAGGCAGCAGUGAGGAAUAUUGGGCAAUGGGCGCAAGCCUGACCCAGCCACGCCGCGUGUGUGACGAAGGCCUUCGGGUCGUAAAGCACUGUGGAGAGGGACGAAAACAUGCAGGAGGAAAUGCCUGCGUCUUGACGGUACCUCUUUAGCAAGCACCGGCUAACUCUGUGCCAGCAGCCGCGGUAAUACAGAGGGUGCAAACGUUGCUCGGAUUUACUGGGCGUAAAGCGCGUGUAGGCGGAUACGCAAGUCGGUUGUGAAAUCCCUGGGCUCAACCUAGGAACUGCAUCCGAAACUGUGUGUCUUGAGUAAUGGAGAGGGUGGCGGAAUUCCCGGUGUAGAGGUGAAAUUCGUAGAUAUCGGGAGGAACAUCUGUGGCGAAGGCGGCCACCUGGACAUUUACUGACGCUGAAACGCGAAAGCGUGGGGAGCAAACAGGAUUAGAUACCCUGGUAGUCCACGCCGUAAACGAUGAGAACUAGGUGCAGCGGAUAUUGACCUCUGCUGUGCCGUAGCUAACGCGUUAAGUUCUCCGCCUGGGGAGUACGGCCGCAAGGCUAAAACUCAAAGGAAUUGACGGGGGCCCGCACAAGCAGUGGAGCAUGUGGUUUAAUUCGAAGCAACGCGCAGAACCUUACCAGGGCUAGAAAAACUGAGAAUCCU
rnacentral:rRNA from 1 species